rnacentral:lncRNA from 10 species
AUGUAGAUUUUCCUGAAAACCCUUACAGGGAAGACCACCACCCUCGAGGCUGAACCCUCAGAUAUGGUAGAAAAUGUAAAGGCCAAGAUCCAGGGUAAAGAAAGAAUUCCUCCUGAUCAGCAAAGACAAGCACUGGAAGAUGGGCGUACUCUGUCUGACUACAACAUUCAAAAGGAGUCUCCUCUUCAUCUUGUAUUGAGAAUUCGUGGUGGUGCUAAGGAAAGGAAGAAGUCUUGAAGAAGAAGUCUUACCUGCAAGACGAAUAAGCACAAGAGAAAGAAGGUGAAGCUGGCUGUCCUGAAAUAUUAUAAGGUGGAUGAGAAUGGCAAAAUUAGUCACCUUCGUCGAGGUUGCCCUUCUGAUGAAUGUGGUGCUGCAGUGUUUAUGGCAAGCCACUUUGACAGACAUUAUUGUGGCAAAUGUUGUCUGACUUACUGCUUCAACAAACCAGAAGACAA